rfam:Gorilla gorilla gorilla genomic chromosome, chr8, whole genome shotgun sequence
GCCGGGUGCAGUGGCCCAUACUUGUGUCCCAGCUACUCAGGAGGCUGAGGUGGGAGGAUUGCUUGAGCCCAAGAAUUCUAGGCUGCAGUGCGCUAUGCCAAUUAAAUGUCUACACUGAAUUUGGCAUCAAUAUGGUGACCUCCCAGGAGCUGAGGGCUAUCAAGGUUGCCUAAAGAGGGAUGAACUCACCCAGGUCAGAAACGGAGCAUGUCAAAACUCCUGUACUGAUCAGUAGUGGGAUCAUGCCUGUGAAUAGCCACUGCAUUCCCACCUGGACAACAUGUUGAGACCACAUCUCUU